UGAUUUAACCUCUUCAAAGAACAUGUUGAAAUGACAAAAAAGAUUUGUGGCAAUGCAAAUGUCCGUUACGCAUGGCUUGCUUCCUCCAAGGAUGCGGUGGAUGAGAUGAUGUCUCAUGGGGUUCUGAAGCAACCUGUGCAGAAAUGACUUUAUAGAAAUAGACUUCAUCUUGCCCUUACAAAUUGCUCUGAUAUCUGCAUUGCGUAAGCUUUGUGAAGAUGCUUCGGCAGUUAUGCAGGAUCUAUAAAAUCUUGAAGUUUUGAUCUGGAUAGGCGAGGACUUGGAGAAAUGGAAUCUUUCAUAUGAAGAGAAAGAGGAAAUUGUUA